AGUGAACGCUGGCGGUAGGCCUAACACAUGCAAGUCGAACGGCAGCACAGGAGAGCUUGCUCUCUGGGUGGCGAGUGGCGGACGGGUGAGGAAUACAUCGGAAUCUACUCUGUCGUGGGGGAUAACGUAGGGAAACUUACGCUAAUACCGCAUACGACCUACGGGUGAAAGCAGGGGACCUACGGGCCUUGCGCGAUUGAAUGAGCCGAUGACGGAUUAGCUAGUUGGCGGGGUAAAGGCCCACCAAGGCGACGAUCCGUAGCUGGUCUGAGAGGAUGAUCAGCCACACUGGAACUGAGACACGGUCCAGACUCCUACGGGAGGCAGCAGUGGGGAAUAUUGGACAAUGGGCGCAAGCCUGAUCCAGCCAUACCGCGUGGGUGAAGAAGGCCUUCGGGUUGUAAAGCCCCUUUGUUGGGAAAGAAAUCCAGCUGGCUAAUACCCGGUUGGGAUGACGGUACCCAAAGAAUAAGCACCGGCUAACUUCGUGCCAGCCGCCGCAGUAA
rnacentral:rRNA from 1 species